UAUCACUAAGCGGAGCAAACGGGCCCUCUUCCUCGUCCGAGUUGUAACUUGAAGGAAGGUAUCUUUGGUUUUGGCANUUGUCUAUGUUCCUUGGAACAGGACGUCACAGAGGGUGAGAAUCCCGUGCGAUGAGAUGCCCAAUUCCAUGUAAAGUUCCUUCGACGAGUCGAGUUGUUUGGGAAUGCAGCUCUAAGUGGGUGGUAAAUUCCAUCUAAAGCUAAAUAUUGGCGAGAGACCGAUAGCGAACAAGUACUGUGAAGGAAAGAUGAAAAGAACUUUGAAAAGAGAGUGAAAAAGUACGUGAAAUUGUUGAAAGGGAAGGGCUUGAGAUCAGACUUGGAAUUUUCCAGCAAUGGAGCUUUCCGGGCCAGCAUCAGUUUGGAUGGCAGGAUAAUUGCGUAGGAAAGUGGCACCACCUCGGUGGUGUGUUAUAGCCUGCGUCGAUACUGCCUAUCUAGACUGAGGACUGCGUCUUUGACUAGGAUGCUGGCAUAAUGAUCUUAAGCC
rnacentral:rRNA from 1 species